CAUAUUAUAUAUAUGAACAUAAGAAUCUUGAUAUAUUAUCUUUUGGAAAGAGUUUUACUAGAGACAAUGAACAGUGGAUGGAUAAUGCAAAUUCACAUGUGGUGGUACCCACGUGUUUAUUAGCUCAUUGCCAAUGCACUGAACAAAAUAUAUAUUUUUUAUUUUUUUUAUUUUGAAAAUCAUGUCCAAUGUUCUCUUCUACUUUUUAUAUUUCGUGUUUGAUUGGCAACUAGAAAUGGUUAUAAGUUUAUAACACACAUAAUACUGUUCAUGCUUGGUAAUGUUAGAUUUUGUUAAAGUGUUUUUUGGAAAAGCAACCCUUGAAGUAUUUCUGAAAAUAUGCUUAAAUCGACCCUUCAAAAGAAAAAACAAAAGCAUUAAGUAAUUUUUUAAAGGUUUUCCAAAUAUUCACGUACAACGUUUUUCUAGAUAAAAAUUGACAAAAAGCUUCUAGAAAUUUUUCAAAACAUGCUCACUAUAUUCCAAAAGUGUGAAAUAUAAUAUAUCACACGAUUACACUCCCAUGGUAUAUUAUAUCCCCACCAGCAAACAUGGCCCCCUCUCAAUAUUCAUUCAAUGGCUAUGACCAAUCCUUUUUUUCUUAUCCCAAGCCAUAUCCUGAUAUCCUAACCCAAACAAACAUAGUAUAUGUAUUAUUACUUUUUNNNNNNNNNNNNNNNNNNNNNNNNNNNNNNNNNNNNNNNNNNNNNNNNNNNNNNNNNNNNNNNNNNNNNNNNNNNNNNNNNNNNNNNNNNNNNNNNNNNNAAUUCUUUACACUCUUUUAGUAUUUAAGGGAAAAGAUCUUUAAUAAAUUUGGCAGCCCAAUGCUGUAGCAUUAACAUCUAUCAUGUCCCUCUCUCCCAUCUUUAAAAUCUUUCAGUAUUUUAAAAAGACAUCUAUAUUAACCUUGUCAUUGGUCCGAAAAGUUGUGUUGCAUUAAAGCCUAUCAUGUCCUCUAUCUCCAUCUUUACAAUCUUUAGAAUUUCAGGAAAAAAUCCUUCAAUAAAUUUGGAAUUAGCCCAAUGUCGUGUAGCAUUAAAAUCUAUCAUGUCCCUCUCUCCCAACUUUAAAAUCUUUCGAUAUUUUAAAAACAUCCCUAUUAAAACUGGGCAUGGUUCAACAAAAAUCGGUGUAGCCAUUAAAUUCGGAUCAUGUUCACUUCUUCCCAUCUUUAUAAUCUUUUAGAUAUUUAAGGAAAGAUCCUUAAUAAAAUUGGCCAUUGGUCCAAAGUUGUGUUGCAUUAAAGCUAUCAUGCCCUUCUCUCCCAUCUUAACAAUCUUUUAGAUAUUUCAACGGAAAGAUCCUUAUUAAAUUUGGCAUUAGGCCCAAUGUCGUGUAGCAUUAAAAUCCUAUCAUGUCCCUCUCUCCCAUCUUUAAAAUAUUUUAAAUAUUUUAAGAAAACAUCCCUACUAAACUUGGCAUUGGUCCAAAAUCAUGUAGCAUUAAAUCCUAUCCUGUCACUUUCUCCCAUCUUUGAAAUCUCCCACGUAUUUUAUAGAAACAACCCUAAUAAACUUGGCAGUGAUUAGAAGAAGUCUGUAGCAUUAAAGUGUAUCAUAUCCAUCUCUUUUAAAGUAUAAUUUAUUUAUUUAUUUAUUUUAUUAAUUAAUUUAGUUAUCAAGUGUUACAUGGUGGGAGGUCUCAAAUUACUAUUUGUGGCUGAAGAUGGUACCUAGUGAUUCAAAACAUUGACCCAUGCCGAUGCCGUGAAUUGACUGCAAACGGAGGCCAAUUACCCACGUCCCACGUUAUCUUAGUCUUGGGACAUUUCUCAUCUAAACUAAAAAAUUGGAAUUUAAAUGGUGGAAAUUGUUUAUUAAAAAAAAUAAAUUUUUGGCCAAUUUUAUUAAAACGUUCAUUAAAAAAUAAAAGAUCUAGUAAAAAAGCCAAAAUUUUGGAGAUUUGUUAGGAAAAUAAUUUUGGGCCAAUUUUGAAGAAAAAUAAAAGAGUAAUCCUACAUCUUUUGAAGCCAGUCUAGUUGGAUAUGCUUAACUUAGUGAGGUGAUUAAUAUCUGAUAAUUUUUUUAUUCAAAAUCAUAAGAUUAAAUGGAAAAUUGACACCCAAAAUUCACUGCUUCAAUAUUAGGGAAGAAUGGUAAAAUAAAUUGCCACAUUGGUCCAUUUAUGAGGUCCUUUAGCGGGUUUACAAGCUUUCCCCUUGAAUUGGUCUGGGGCCCGAGGGGCAACCAUGUUUCAUGGAGGAGGGAGAGGACUGCACCUUUGUGUUACCAUUUGGAAAAAAAAAAAAAAUAUUAUUAUUUAUUUGAGAUUUUAAAAGCGUUCAAAAGGUGCUUACAAUGUGGCAAUGGGGUCCUUAUGAAAGGAACACGGUCUCUUACCCAACGGUCUGAAAUUUGUACCACGUAGUUGUGGCCUGGAAUGUUCGUGCGUCCCAUUUUUGGCACGAGCAUUCAGUGGCACUUUUCGCCAUGAUGGAGCAAACUGUUGACUGUUGAUCUGUACGAACGAAACUUCCGUCACCGAAAAAACUCAAUUAGGAUGGCUACGAAUAUAGAUGAAUCGAAUUAAUUAAACAAUUUUCAAUGUGGAAAAUUAAACAAACAAAUGAGAGAAUAAAAAACAAAAAUAAAAAAAAAAAUCAAAUUUUAUGUGUGUUCGACACUGUAUUAGGUACAGACUGUCAAACAAGUAAAGGUUCCACUAACAAACCAACGAUUGCCCCGAAGAAGAAGAGCCAAAGGAAAGAGAAAUGUUUGUUGAAAAACUCCUCUCCAAAGCCUCACCAAUAUCAACUAGCAAUUUUCCCCGACCCUAGGUAGACAACUCAAAACAAAAAACUCUCUCUCACAUAAAAAGAUUAAAGACUAACCAAAGUCCCCAAUUGGGGGGUCCAAGGGAAACUAAAAAAAAUUUCUUCAAAAACUUGAAGGUCAUCCAAGUCCCCAUAAAGAUCUUUCAAAGGAACUAGAAAUUUACCAAAGAUUAGAGAAUCUUCCAAAUUUAUAACCAAAAAAUCCUUCGUUAAAAACAAACAAUACCAAAAGUGUUUCUUACCAAACAAGCUCCUAAAACCAAUAAAGAAUUACAAAAAAAUAGAGUUUAGAAAUUCUAAAACGAGUUUAAUUAUUCAAAUCUUACCAAUCAAAACCAAUCUAAUUGUCAAUAUCUAAGUGUGAAGCUGAAAAGGCAAAAUUAUCUUACUUGUCUGAUUCUAAAUUAACAGAUGGUACCUUCUCUAGAUCAAAAUUGAAUUAUUGCUUUUGGGGUUUUCGCAAAACUGAGGAAAUUUUGUUCUAGUGGUUCUUUGUUUUUUUUUGGGACUUUACGUUCGAUUGAUAUUGAUAAUAUUUUCAUUGUGGUUUAGUGGUUUCUCUUAAUGGAGUAUAAAAUAAAAUUAUCGAUUUUAUUUUAUACACAUUUUUUUUUAAGAUACAUGUUUUUCUUUCUUUCAAGUACCAUUUUUUCUUUCUUCACUCGAUGCUUUUAUCGAUUUCGACGAGAAGUUACAAACAUUGCAUACAUUACUUUUUAGGCAACAUUUUUUAUGAAGUGUUAAUUUCGUUAGAAAGGAAAAGCUACUGAGCUGUAGUAGUUGUAUUUUUUAAUAUAUUGUAAUCAGAUGUUGCUAAAUAAAUGAUGCUUUAAAAUGUUUUGAGACAAAUGGUAUAUGAGAAGUUUUUAUCCGGAAAGAUUAGGUACGGAAAAAUCUAUUACUUUCUUGUAGUGAUUUCUUUUCUUUUUUAAGCAUUAUGUAGGGCUCCAUUUAAGAGUUCACUUAGGUCUCCAAAAACUUAGGACUUGCUCUCGAUUCAAUUCAUGUCUAAGUUAGUAAAUAAAGAGAUUACAUACACUGUUGGUUCACUGUAGAAACAAAUUGAAAAGUUUUCAUUUGUUCUGCACGAUCACUAUAUUUCAGGAGACAAACGUCUAAAAUAGUAAACACCUUAACGAUGGAAAAUUCUGUCUUUAAGGACAUAGUGCUAAACACUAGCCUUUGAUUAGUCUCCUUCGAAUUUCUCACUACAAUUUGUUUUAUACAAGGUAUAUCUUCUUCUGCAAUCAGUUAUUUGUGUUCAAACCACAUAAUCUGUUUCUGAUUUUGUUUCUAAAAGUAAUUGUUGUUUCCAAAAGAGUUUUUGGUUAUGUUUCUACAAAAUCAGAUUUUUUAAACAGUUUAGCUUCUGCAAAUUAAAUCUGUUUCUGUAAUUAUAUAUAUAUAUAUAUAUAUAUAUGUAUAUAUAUUUAUAUAUAUAUAUAUAUACACACACACACACAAAAAAAAAAGAAUUAAAAAGUAAAAGCUAAAAAUAAAAAUAGUAAUUUUCACACUUUUUUUUUCCUUCAAUUACACUCUAUUUUGUGUCUUUAUUUGGUAUAAGAUUAUCAAAAUACCCAAGUAUUUAUAUUUCUAAACUACUUUUCUCAAAAUAUUCUAAUUGCAUAGAAGGACAUUUAAGUAUUUUUGCCAAAUAAAAAAAAAGAAAUGGAAUUAGAGAAAAAAAGAAUGUAAAAAUCAUUACCUAAAUUAAUGAAAACAUGCUAAAAUGAAAAUUUUCUGAUGCCAUCUAUUACUUAAAAAAUAUAAUAUUCCGUUUGGAUAUGUGAAUUUCAAAUGCUAUUUAAUUUUUUUUAAAAGAAGAAUAUUUUAAUUACACGUAUUUCAAUUAACACUUAUAUUGGAAAAAGAGAGAGCGGAGUGAGAUGUGUGAAUUUGUCAAAUUACACUAAUUUUGAGUUAUUUAAAAUUCUUUUCAUUUACUAUUGAAAUUCAAAGGGUAAUUUUUCUCAAUCUUAAAUUUUUUUGCUCUAUUCGCCAUCAAAACAUAAUUUUUGCUCUAUUCACCAUCGAAACAUACUCGACGAAUUUGGAAGGAAAAUUUCAAAUUUUUUAUUUUUAAAGGGAAUCUAAGAUCCAUGAAGAAUGACUCAACGCGGAAUUGCUCUAGAAUGGUCCCCAUCAUAGAAGAGUGCACAUCAACCAAGUAAUCAAUUUCAUAUUUUUUAUUUUAUUUUACGGUUACUAUCAGUUUGGUUAUAAAUAGGGAAUCCCAAAAUCUUGUUAUUGUAUGACUAAGAGAAAAAUGGGUUCCAGGAAGUUGCUUGUUUUGGAGAUAUUUCUCUCGACUCUUAUACUUCUCUAUUCUUUUGAAGUGGCUGCAAGGGAACUUUCUUUUGGAGACGUCACACGUAAGUUUCAAUCUGGAUUCUUUCUUUUGGCAACUGCUUUGGGUCGGUUGGUCGGUCGUAUUAGAGUCUCUGGAAGUCAGUUAAGUAUAAAAAAAAAAAAAACUCAAAUUUGUUUUUAAUGGUUUAUAUUACAAACAUUGUGGCAAGAUAUUAUUCGCCUAACAUGCCAAGCAAGAAGCCCAUCAUAUCCAACAUGAUAUUAUACGAACUAGGCUUCUUUACGGAUCAUUUUUGGACUGUAAUUUAAGUAUUUUGAGUUAUUUCAAUGAUUCAAACCGUUUAUAUGUAAACCUCCUACAAAAUAUUAAUUCUGUAAAAAAUUAUUUUGAUUGGAUUCAAAUCAAUAGUUAAAUUUAUUUAAUCAAAAUAAGUGAACUCAAAAUUGAACCCCAAAUUUUGAACUGAACCUAUUUAUAAUAUGAACAAUUUGUAUCAUUAAAAUGAACUCAAAAUAAAAUCCGAAAUGCUUGAGUUGCAUCCGUACAACUUUAGAGAAGCCAGAUCUAUAUUAUAUAUACGAACAUAGGAACUUGAUAUAGUACUUUUUGGAAAGAGUUUUGGUGGAGACAAUGUAUAAUGGAUGAAAAAUGCAAAUUCAUAUGUGGUGGUACCUGCGUUUUUAUUGGCUCAUUACCAAUGCAUUAUACAAAAUGCAUUUCUUUUUCUUUUUUUUUUUGAAAAUCAUGACCAAUGUUCUCUUCUACUUUUUAUAUUUUGUGUUUCGUUGGCAACCAAAGAUCAAAAUUUCAUUUCGAGGGUUUGUUUCUGUUGGCAACGAAAACGUUUUGACUGUUUCGAUGGAAACAAAAUGAAUUUUUGUUCCUUGUUGGCAACUAAAAAUGGUUAUAUGUUUACAACACAUGAGAGAAAUGUUUCGACUGUUUCAAUGGAAAACAAACGAAAUUGUAUCCUGAUGACAACUAAAAAGGUUAUAUAUAUUUAUAACACAUGAGAGAAUACUGUGCAUGUUUGGUAAAACUUAAACAAGGCACGCCUCUUAGAUUUUGUUAAAAGAUUUUUGAAAAAGCAACCCUUGGAGUAUUUCUGAAAAUAUGCUUAAUUCCCCCCUCAGAAGCAAAAAACAAAAGCAUUGUUAAGUAAAUUUUUAAAGGUUUUUCCAACAUUCACGUACAAAUUUUUUCUAGAUUAAAAUUGACAAAAAGCUUCUAGAAAUUUUUUCAAACAUGCUAACUAUAUUCUAAAAAGUGUGAAAUAUAAUAUAUCACCCAAUUUACACUCUCAUAGUAUAUCAUAUCCCCACCGGCAAACAUGGUUACCUCUCAAUAUUCAUUCAAUGGCUAAGAUUAAUCCUUUUUUCCUUAUCCCAAGCCAUAUCCUAAGUUCUUAACCCAAACAAAUAUAGUAUAUAUAAUUUUACUUUUUAUUUAUCAUUUAUUUUAUUGCAUUACAUACAUAGUUAUCAGAACUGAACCGGCGAUUGAACUAAUUAAGGCAUUGGUUCAAUGAUUUACUGAUUCAACCGUGAUUCAACCGGUUAUAUAAUAAAUAAAUAUUUAAAUAAAAAUAAUUAUUAAAAAAUUAUAAUGGGUAAAAUAUACAUUUUUUAUGCAAUAAUCAACUAAUAUAAAUAAAUAUAUCAAUAACAAGGUACAAAAAUAUAUAAUUAAUAAAAUAUUUAAGAGGACUUUUUCGUCUUCAUUAAUAUUUUAACUAUUACUUAUUGAUAUUCUUUAUAUUUAAAAGAAAAACGUAAUCUUGCAAUAAUUGUAUAUUAGAUAAAAUGUGCAUUAUUUGUAUGAUCUUUUUUUUUUUAUUUUUUAUUACUAUACACUCCUAUUUUUUUAUCUUUAUUUUUAAUUUAGUUUAUGUUUUUCAUUGAAUUAAUUUGGAUAAACUAUCCGAUAUAUUUAUUAUAAUAAUUAUGUUUCUUUUUUUUUCCUUCUCUUGACUUUCAUUGAAGAUUUUACUUUUUUUAUCAAAAAUCCAUAAAAGACAUUUCUUUUUAAAAAAAAAAUGGUUUUAAAAAAUAAUAUUAUAAAUCUUGUACAAUUUUUAUUUUUUUUAAACUUUUUUAAAAACCGGUCGUUCACUAAAUCCGGCUGUUCACUAUUUUUUCAAAAAAAUCGGCCAUUCAUCCGGUUUCACAUGUAUUUUUGGUAAAUUAAUUAACUGUACUGAUUCAUGUCCGAUUUUCGAUUCAACCGGUUGAACUGACCGAUUCAUACGAUUCUGAUAACUAUGAUUACAUAUUCCUUACCUCUUGAAUCCCCUCAUUUUAUAUUCAGACAGUCAACAGACCCUAUCGUAUUCCCCUAAAUGCCAGCAAGAAGCCCAUCAUAAUAUAUUAUAUGGACUAGGAUUCUCUACAGAUCAUAUUUUCCCGUAUUGGGGUGAAAGGUUAAAUAUUUUUCAAUUAUUUUAAUAAUUAAAUCAUUUAUAUGUAGACAUCCUAUAAACUUUAAUCAUGUAAAAAACACACGUUUGAUAAAAUUUCAAUUAAAAGUUAUAUAAUUUAUAUCAUGAUAAAUUAGCCUCAAAAUAGAAACCAACCUAUCUUCCCUUUCUAAUGCUCAACCAGGACGAAAAUCCAAGCUGAGCUCUUCUCCCAAAUUUGAAGCAAGCAUAGGCAACCAAUCCAUCAUACUCAUGGUUCACUCCAUCAAACACUAAUCUCUCCAAGUCAAGGCCCCUGUCAUUGGAGGAGGAAUAAAUUGCAGCAAUGCAUGGCAAGUCAUUGCAAUAACCUCGCGUACACCGGCUUAAAAGUACGCCUCGAGCACUUAGAUUUCUCUGCCUUUCCACACUUCUUCGCCCGAUCUCAAGUGACCAACUCACCGGUACCAUCCCCCCAUCCGUAUGACUCCUUACAAAACUCCAAUACUUGAUCUCUCCACAAAUUCUCUCUCGGCACAAUACCACUUUCUGGUCUAAUCUUUCCAUGUUUUUGAGCUUGAUUUCUCACGAACAUGAUAACCGGUGAGCUUGAAAUUCCGCGUUGUUUCCAAAUGUGCCACGGAAUCAGCCAAAACCGGGCUAAUAGUCUCCAGAGAAUUCUCCUUCAAGAUACGAACCUUAGUGGCUAUAUUCCUUCGAAUUAGGUUUGGGGGGCAAAAAAUUUGACCUCUCAUUGCUUUUGAUGGAAGUCAUUUUUUCGGUCCAAUUCCUUCUUCUUUGGGCAAUUUAGUGGAGUUAACGGCUUUACGGCUAGCUGCAAACCUCUUUCUGGGAAAAUUCCUUGAGUCUUGUUCUUUAAGCAGUUAACCGUCUUCGCUUGUUUAUAACCGAUUUAUCCGGAUUCCGUCCCUCAAGAAAUGGAAACUGUCGUCAUUGGGAGUUCUUCAUCUGGCAGGAGAACAACUUCACUGGCCAAUUGCCUCAACAAUGUGUCAAAGUGGAAAACUUGUGAUUUUCAGUGCAGCUUAUACCAAUUUUACCGGUCCUAUCCCAAGGAGCUAAGAACUUGCUCAACUUAUUCAGGGUCCGGUUUGAAUAUAACCAACUAGCAUGGCAUUUGGAUCAAGAGUUCGUAGUUUAUCCAGUCUUACUUACCUGGACUUGAGCUACAACCAGCUGUCAAGGUAAAUACGCUUCAAUGGGGGCAAUGUCGUAAUUUGACACUGCUAACACUUGCAGGAAUAUAAUUGCAGGGGAAUCCCAAAUGAAUACUUCAGUUAACCAACUCCAAGUAGUCCUGACCUGUCCAUUCUAAUCACUUUAUGGGAAAAUACCCCACAAACUUGGAAAAUUGUCGGAAUUAGACUCCUUAAGCUUGCAGAACAAUAUUUUUUCAGGUCAAUGACCGUCAGGCAUCGGACAACUAUCCAUUGGAAAUUCUAGACCUGUCAUUUAACAAGUUAAGUGGACCAAUUCCAAUCAGAUUGGGUACUGUUUCAAGGCUACAUUUUUGAGUUGGAGCAAGAAUAAGCUUAAAUGCUUCCAUCCCAACCUGAGAUUGGUUAUCUUGUAACUUUGCAAACCUUUACUUGAUUUGAGUUACAAUCACUUACUGGAGAGAUACCACCACAAUUGGGAAAACUUCCUAGCCUAGGAAAAAUUGAACCUCUCCCAUAACAACUUUUUCAAUACCGUACCCAGUUCUUUAGGUGACAUGGUGAGCUUGGUGACCAUUGACCUGUCCUACAAUGAUCUGGAGGGUCCUCUUCCUAAUACCGACGCCUUUCGUUCGUUUUCCUCCACAAUCAUUCGCGAAUAACAAAGAUUUAUGUGGUAAAUCCAAGGAUUGAGGGCAUGUAACACAUCAUCUCCGAAAGUAACAAGCAAAAGAAAGAGAAUUCCUCUCCUGAUAAUUAUUAUCAUAACUUAUCGUUUCCCUUCUUGUUUUUCGUCUCCUUUGUGGUUGUUUUCUUGCACUUGUCACCGAGAUGCGAAAUGAAUGCUCUGGAAUUUGGGUCCAGGAAAGGAAAAAAAUCUCUUUUCAUUUGGAAUUUUAAUGGGAGAAUGAUUUACGAAGACAUAAUCUAUGCCACAAAGAUUUAAGGAUGAAUAUUGCAAUUGGGGUGGGAGGGUCAGCGAGAGUUUAUAAGGCUAUGUUACCGAGUGGACAGGUCGUGGCAGUGAAGCUAACUCUAGAACUGAAAGCAUGGAGUAUGGACAGAACUUUCGAAAAUGAGAUAAGAACUUUGACAGAAACAGGCACGAACAUUGUGAAACUUAUGCCUUUUGUUCUCAUGAAAGGCAACAUUUUUUGGUUAGCGAGUUCAUGGAACAAAGGGAGCUUGGCAAGUGUUCUAAUUGUCGAUAAAGAAGCACGGAGUUAGAUUGGUUGAAGAGGGUGGAAUAUUAUUCAAGGUGUUGGCUAAAUGCAUUGUAUUACCUGCAUCUAGUUGCACGCAGUUUUUUUUUUUUUUUUCUCCAAUAAUUUCACCGCACAUAUCGAGCAGAAUGUUUUGUUGAACUCAGAAUUGGAGGCCUCCCAUGUCUCAGAUUUUGGCACUGCUAGUUUUUUGAAGCGUGAAGCCUCAAUUUGGCUGCAGUUGCGGCACAUAUGAUACAUCGCGCAGGUGGACAUUUUAUUAGAUUUAUAUGUUUUUAGUUUCAUUUAAUUUAUCGAAACGAGAAAAAUAUCCUUUUAAUUUUAAUAGAAUUUGUGGACAAUAGACAGCUCAAAAGAGUUUUCACGAAUAAUUUUUAAAACUAGUUUGUCAAAGAAUGUAGUGCUAUGGAUAAUUAGUUAAUAGAGUUACACAUUGUUGUCUAUGAGUCUCGGGGCUUUAUUUCAAGCUUAAUUUGAAAUUUUAAUGAGUUUAAAAACUUGUUCAACCUAGUUGGGAUAUUAGUCAAUUCAAUUUGGAAACAAUCUCCUAAUAAGUCAAUUUGAGUAAAUCACAGGUUAUAGGUUGGGUUGUUUUAAUUUUAUCUAGGAUAGCUUGUAGACUAAGCUGAGAAGAGCUACGAGAAAACUGACUAUUCCAACAUAUAUUCAGCAUUGGUUGUUUAGGUAAUAGGUGAUUGCAAUUGGAUUUUAAUUAACGAGCUAAACACAAAUGAACUUGACUAUUUUGUUCAUUUUACACCCAAUGCUUGCACCUUCUUUGAAGAUCCAUUUCGUCAGUGCAGAAUUGGCAAUUUGAAUUUUAGCCUCGAGUUAAUGUUUUUUCCUUAUUUUUUUCAUUCCUUUUGCUCUCAGAUUGUCGUAUACAAUUGCGGUGACAGAAAAAAUUCGAUGUGUAGCUUUGGGGUCAUUGACACUUGAGUUUUGAAGGAAUGGGCCUCAUCCAGGGGAGCCUUAUUUCCACCCCUAACUCUUAGUGGAUCAAUGCAUUCAACUUGAAGAUGUGUUUAGAUCCUCGCCUCUCUCCUCCUACCAAAAAGAUUGGCACAUGAACUCACCCCCAUUGUCAAUCUUGCAAUAUGGUGCUUGCGUGCUGAUCCACGUUCUAGGCCUUCCAAGAGCUGCCUUAAACUCAAGGCUUGAAAUCAAGGCUGGUUAUGACUAGAGAAAUAUAGCGUGUAUGAGAAUGUAACUAUGUAUGUAUUUGAAUAUCUAAGAAUCACAGCACCAAAAGAAAAAUGUGUAACUAUGCUAUUAAUGGGAUGUUGGUGUUAUUCAAUCCUUUGAUUGUGUGAUUUUAUUCAAUCUCCACCUAUAAAUAGAUAUGUAUUUUAUAUAUUAGACAUAUGAUGUAAUAAAAUGUGAUUAUCAACGAGAAAAAGAGUCCUUAUGGAAUUUGUGCUCAUAGGUAAAUGUUGAAAUAAAGGUUUAUUUGAGUUUUUAUGAUGAUUACAAAUGUUAAUAAUAAGUCAAGUCUAAAACCAUGGUUGAAAAUCACAUUAAAUAACUUAGAUAUACAAGGACCAAAUCAGUUAGUUCAUUUCCACAAAGACAAACAACAGUGGUCUAAAACAAUCUUACAUGUGAGAAAAGAAAGAUGUUGAGCUCUUUACAAGUCACAUUCAACGUCAUUGUGCAUACAAAAGAGGUAGAAAAGAUAAACCAACUCUCAAACUCAAAAUGGAUAGUUAACGGACUUAACUGAUAAAAUGACAUAAUACAAACUGCUAUUGUCACAAGUUCGAUCGACCGAACUUCAUCAAGUCAUCUCUUAAUAGAUAUGAUCAUUGAAAGCAUAGUUUAAAUACGACUGAAGUUCACAUUUGGUCGACCGAAGUUGAAAGAUGCACAACCGAAGUUGAAAUAGUGAACAAGGAUUCUCAUUGGAAUAACAGUUAAGACACGACCGAAGUUUACAUUUGGUCGAUCGAAGUGUCGACCAAAGUAUGUAAAUCCAAAAUAGAGCAACAUAAGUGAUCUCUGGAAUUGAAGAACAGUGUCGACUGAAUUUCAAGUUCGGUCGAGCGAAAGUGGAAAAGCCCUCGAUCGAAGUUUUAAAUUCCUCAGCAAACAAAGUAUGCAAGCCAUUGGAAUUUCUCUCAUCUCCUUUACAUUACUUAUAUACUUGCUAUUACUAGGAAUGCACUGUUUGUAUAAGUUUUAAAUAAGAAAUUUUAAUUGGCUAUUAAUCCUAAGCAAACCCACUUCACCACCUCAUAAUGUAUUUUGAGUUUUUAAUAAACGAACUUUGAUAUUUGAAGAAUUCAUUCAUAUAGUAUUUGAUGAAUUUAAUGAUCUAUUCUUCAAAAUUGCUUCAAGGAAUGCAGGAAUCGAAGAAAGCAUGGAAAAUUAAAAUUACUCAAGAAAAUUAAGAGAUUUAAGUAGAAGCCAGUGAGGACAUACAACUAGAAGUUGUCCUACCUCAGCUAGAAAAUCAAAAACAAGAUGGUGAAAGUUUAAAUCUUCCAAAAGAAUAGAGAUUCGUUCACAACCAUCCAACAACUCUCAUUAUUGGCAAUCCAUCAAGAGAGAUAACUACUAAAAACUCUAUAAGAAAUAUUUAUAAAAAUCUUGCAUUCUUAUCACUAAUAGAACCUAAAAUUUUUCAUAAAGCCGAAUUUGAUGAAUAUUGGCUUUUACCAAUGCAAGAAGAACUUAAUUAAUUUAAAAUAAAUAAACUUUGGAUACUAGUACCUGGACCAAUCAAUCACCCCAUAAUAGGUACUAAAUGAGAGUUUAGAAACAAACUAGAUGAAUCUGGGAUCAUUGUUAGAAAUAAAGUUAGACUCAUAGUGUAAGGUUCCAAUUUGUUUUUUAAAUACAUGACGUAAUUAGGGCACACAUGUGAUGUCAUCACACUACAAGUAUACACACACACACACACACACACACAUAUAUAUAUAUAUUUAUUUAUAUAUGUGUCUUUAUAUAAGUAUAUUUAUAUUAGAAGAUAAAGUUGAAUUGUUUUAUUUGGGCUUGUAAGUGGAGCGUGAGGAGCGUGUAAAUGGCUUAACCACAGAUGGAUUUUGAUUUUGAUUUAUUGAUGGGAUAAACUAAGCCCAAGGGCCUAAGGAGGGCAUUUGUGUUAUUUCAUUUUCGUGACCUAACGUAAAUAAUCUUCCCAAUAUUUGUGUUUAGAUUGUUUAUUUUUUUCUCUUCUUCUUCCUCUUCUUUCUUUCCUUCUCUCUUUCUAGAGUUGUGAGCAUUUGAGCUUAGAAUCUAGGUUAUGAGGUGUGAUUUGAGUGGUGAUCAUUUGGAGAAACAUCUACUACUUCGACGGAGCUUUAUUUUGACACUAGAAGAUUUGAGAUUGGAGGAAUUCAGAAUUUGGCAUCACUAUUAAUUGUAGAUCUUUUUUGUUGCUUGGAUUUGAGGUAAAAGGUUUUUUUUUUGUGGGGGUUUUAAUCUUAGAUUUAUUGUUAUAGGCUUGAAUAAAGUCCUAUUGCUGAUUUUGAGUAUUGAACUUGAAAUGAAAACUGGUUUGUUAUGGAAAUUGUAGGUUUAUUGUUGGAAUUUUUCAUUGGAUUAUUAUAAAUGGCUUAUAUAAGCCUAUAUUUUAUAAGAUUUUUAUUUUUAGUGUUUAAACUAUAAAUGAAAGAUUUGGUUAUAUAAAAAAAGUUGGAUUCCGUAGAUCAAGUGUCGACACGUGUUGUUUUCAAGUGUCAACACCUGACGAAGAAGAAAGAAAAUUUGACUAUUGGUCCCAGGUAUCGACAUUUGAAACUAGUGUCGAUACUUUUGAAUAGUAAACUUAAAAUUUUGACUUCAACCUAAGGGUUGUCGACACUUUUGAAUAGUAAUAAACAAUUGGAGUUUUUCCUAGUUUUACCUUGAGUAUGAUGAUAUUUUGUAUAAUAUAUUGUUGCAUUGAAAUUUUUGAUAAUACAUGUGCGUUGCGGGAUUUGAAUAAUGUGAUUUGGGGGGGGGGGUACUUAAAAUUGGUGACAUUUUAUAUGAUUGAGUAUGAUAAUUGUUUCAGAACAAAAUAUGAGAAUGAUUUCAAUAAUAACUUAUUAUUAUUGACGAUUUUAAAUGCUUGUAGAGUAUGUUGUUGCAUUUAAAGUUUGAUAUAUAACAUGAACGUAUGAUUGAACUUGUGAAAAAUAUAAAACUUAUAGGUGCAUGGAGAUUUAAAAAUAGUUUGGGAAUGAUACGUUAGGAUGUAUCAAAAAUUAGAUGACAACGAUACAGAGGAAAUGUCAUAGCUCACGAUGAAAGCCCAGGAAGUUGACAAAAUAAAAGUUCUAGAUCGCAACGAUACAGAGGGAAUGUCAUAGUGAAAGCCCGAACAGUUGAUAAAAUAAAAGUCCUAGAUGUCAACAAUACGGAGGGAAUGUCAUAACCCACGAUGAAAGCCCGCGAAGUUAACGAAUGUUAUCUCAUGUACUUAGUGCAUAAUGAGGUUGGUUAUAUAUUAACCUAAGAAUUGAAUUGAAUUUUUGAGAAGACUCGGGAACACGGGAAAAAUGUUGGAUGUGAAAAAUCAUGGAUUUGAAUCAAAAGUAUAUUUUGAUAUGAAUGAAAAUAUAUUUUGUUGCUCAUAUUUUCAUUGUAGAGCUAUAUAUCACAGUUUUUGGGCUUGAGACAUAAGUACCUACUAAUUGUUAAAUCCCUUUUCAAGCAGUGGUUAACUCACCUUACUAUACAAUAAAUUUUAGAUACCGAGGGUUAUCUUGAGUCGUAAAGCAUUUGGAUUGUUCGUAUAUUGUUAUUUUAUUUGUGCAUAUAUAACAUGUAUUUUUGGGAAUUGUAAUUAUUCUUAUUGGCCCGAGUGUGGCAUUGUCCAUUAAAAUAUCACUUCUCGUUUGUAGUUGAUAGUUUAUGGAGAGCUGGUCCUACGUGUUAGGGAUAGAGGUCCCAUACUCUGAUGUGUAAAACUAGUGUAUUGCCAGACUGUUUCUUUAGGUUUGACUUUUCAUACAUAUUGAGUUAAUUUGCUUAUGUGGUCGAUCUAGGCUGUGACCGGCGGCAUACCUAUAGCACGAGGGGUAUCGUCACAAGGAAUGAAUAUAUUUGAUAAUUCAUUUCACGAUCCUCCCCGAUCGCUAAAUAAAUUACGGAUAAUAUUGAAUGGCUACUAGAUUGCAUCUGCUGCUAUAUGAACUUCAUAACGUAUAACCUGUAAAUUGGUCUAUAAAUAUGUCUGUGUGGUUUUGGGGAAUGUAUCCAUUACCUUGCGGAAGGUGUAUCUGUUUGCACCAACUUCCAGGCUUUUUGACGAAUCAGGAAUUUCCGAACCACGUAUAUAGCUUUUUAAAGCCUCUAUGAAUUAAAGAAAACUCCAAGGCUUGGUGUGAAAGACUAAGUGAGUUUUUUAAUGAAAUGAUUUUAUUCAAGAAAAAACAAAGUAAAGCCUUAUUCUUACAAAUUAAAAAUAAAGGACAUACUUAUUGGGCAAAUAAUGUAGAUGACAUUAUAUUUGGUGCUACUAUGAUAUUAUGUGCAAGAUUUUACAUAGUGUGCGCGAGUUCAACUUCUUUCCUUAACUACAAAAUCAAGCAUCAAGUGGAUAAAUUAUACAAACCAACCAAAAUAUAAUAAAUGAUUGAUCAAAUGUUUCAACCAUCAGCAUAUGAGAGCAUUAGCUACCCCCGAUUAGCACAUCUAUAACUGACAAGACACAACGCUAAAAACUGAGAUGAAAAACUCUAUUGAGGUAUCAUUGGAUCUCUACUUAUUUAACUGAAGUAGACCCGAUAUCCAUGCUUAGUGUAAUGCAUAUGUGCUAGAUUUCAAUCAUGGCCCUAAAGGAAUCACAUCUAUUGGCCAUCAAUCUAUUUAAAUAUGUUAUAGAUAUGCAAAAGCUAGUAUAUUUUAUCUAAGAGGAUUUGCCUUUGAUUUGAAGGAUAAUCAGGACAGACUAUGGCGGUAUGCAAAAGUAGAACAAAAAAGCACAAAUGGGACUUUUUAAUUUCUAGGACAAUCCCUAAUUUCUUAUAUUAGCAAGAAACAAAAUUCCAUCAAACUAUUAACCGCCAUGCUGAUAGUGGCCGCCAAAAGUUGUUGUGCUCAAUUCUUGUAGAUAAAAACAAAUAAAUGGGGGAAUAUAAUUUAUAUUUUGAUUAUAUUUCAAUCAAUUGUGAUGAUACAAGUGCUAUAAUGUUGUCUAAGAAUCCCAUAUAACAUUCUAGAACAAAGCACAAUGAGAUUCGAUAUCAUUUUCUAAGAGAUCACAUCCAAAAAAGGAAUAUUGAACUUAUAUAUAUGCACACCGAUAAGCAAUAGGCAGAUAUUUUUAUAAAAUCACUUGAUAAGAAAGAUUUUAUUUCAUGAGACGUGAACUUAAUAUGUCUCAACCAAUGUGAAUAUAUUUUGAUUUCUUAAUUAAAUUCAUAAUACUUGAGUUAGUAGGAAUUGAGAAAGAAUAGUUUAAAUCAAAAUUUAUUCUAUAUGAAUAAAUGUUAUAUUUGAUCUAAUAUAAGUUUAUUGAUCGACAAAAAUGUGCAUAGAAGUCUCAAAUUUUGAGAUACAUGAAAUUGAUUCAUAGAAUUAUAUUUUAUAGUUGUUUUAUGUAAGUGUGACUUGUGUGAAGAAAAAAAAUGAGCAGUAAGAUCAAACUUAAGUCAAAAUUCCUUACUGUCAAAUUUUGCAGAUAUAGUAGGAACUUCAUUUGAUCGAACUUGAAGUUUGGUUGAUCGAAGUUGCUAAAUUAAAAGGUCAUGUAUACAUUAAAAAGAACAUUAAUUGAGUCCUAGAAACCCUAUUUCUCUUAAAUACUAAUAUCUUAUAAACACUUAUCUAUUACUCUCUCUCUUUACCUCACUAAAGAAAACACAACCCAUACAAUUCUCUCAAAAUGUUUCAUCAAAUUAGUGUUCUUCAACUUCCAAUUUUCCUGAUUCACUCAACCUCUUGGAAGUUCGAUCGACAAAUCGCAAAAAUAUUGUUGACCGAAUUCACAACUUUGAUCUACUGAAGUAGCAGAAACUACGGGAUAAGAGGGAGGGAUAGAGUUUCAAAUGUUUUCAAGCUUCAAUUUCUUACCCUUUUUAGCUUCUAUCAGAUUCCUCGAGGACAUCUAUCUCUUUUAUCUCAUUAUAAAUAAACCCUAUACCUAUUCCUUAUCAUCAUAUCAAAAUCUCUCAAACCCUAGAUCAAAAGUCUAUGAUUUUUCAGACCAUGAUGCAUCCGAGAACCAAGCACGCAUCGAACGAUCCAAGAGGUGAGGAUACCAAUCCUAAACCUGAAAUGGAGUUCAACCCACAACUAUUCAAGAACAGGAAAAUCCAAAAGACAUGGCUAUCCGAGUUCAAAGAAAGGCCAAUCAUCACGGGAAGGAAAUUUAAGAAAAAUUUCCCACUCAAGUACUACAAGAAAAUGUUGGUGCCAUUGGAACCUCUUGAUUGGAAUGGAUGGCAUCCUCUUCCAACGGACAUGUACUCAAACUUGGUAAGGGUUUUCUACUGCAACUGAGAAGUAGGAAACCUAGAUAAUAUUGUGUACACAAUUGACUCAAAUGUUAGAGGGAAAUAUAUAGUCCUCAAUCCCACGAUCUUAUCUGAGAUCACAGGGAUUGUUAAUGCUAGGGACUACAUCUUUUUCAACAAGUCAAGCCAACUUGAUCAAUAUGUGAGUUAAAAACAUAUGAAUAAAAUGAUCUCCAUAAAUGGAAUAUUAGAAGCCACACAAACCAAGGAUAUGAUAAAGGAAUUCAGACUAUUCCAUACAUCACUUACAAUAUAAUUUCUAAGAAGAGAUAUUAUAAUCAAGUGACAACUACGAUAGAAGAGCCUCAUAAUCUAAACUAUAUAAUUCUAAAUGAGAUUGCUAAUGUGAGAAACCAUAGUAGUCGAGCCCUACAUUUUGGUGCUCUCUUGACUAAAAUUUUCAAACACUUUAGAGUCAAGUUUAACAACCAAAUCAAUCAAUAUAUAGGUGGACGUUUUCCUAAACAAAUGAUAAAAAGAGAGACAAGUGUGUUCUCCUCCGAUAAGGAAGAAGAAGAAAGAAGUCACAGUGAUAUGGAGGUUGCAGGAAACUUUGAGGAUCUUCCCCCACAAACCGAGGAAACUUAUGAGGAACUAAGCACUCAAGUGUUCCAACUCCAAAUACAAGAAAAGGAAACGAUGCAGUGGGAGAAUCUUAUGCAAGAAAGGCUUUCAUCGCAAUACGUGCAUUCGACAUGAUUCUUGGAGUACUUUGGAAAGCUCAAUGCCAUAAUGAAACGCGUGGAGCAGCGCCAAGAGAAGUAAGUAGAAUAUUUUGAGCAAAUAGAGUAACGCCAAGAGAAGAAGGAAAGAUACAUUGAGAGGCUCGGUGACUUGUACGAGAACUUGUAUGAGCAGCAAAUCAACUUCAAUAAGCAAUACAACGAUAGGAUGACCAACAUGGAAACUCAGCUUUAGUAUCUCUAGUUCACAACUCAUCCUCCAGCUGAUUUUCCUCUUCCUCCUCCUCCUACACCAUUCGAUGCCCCUAGCUCUUCAUACCGGCCUUCUUGACCUGGACCUAUUGAUGAUUCCCUGAAGGGGGAGAAGAUUUUAGUUUUUUGAUUUAAUUUUUUUAAACAAAUUUCUGAUCAUUUAAAAUUUUUGUUUUAAAAGAAUGUGGUUUGUUUUUUAAUCUAUCUUAGUGUUUGAUAUGCUCCUUUUACAUGCCAUGUUGCUGUGAGUGUGGAUACAUAUGCCAUGUUGCCAUUCUUCUUAAUAUGCUUACUAAGUAUCCCUUGAUUCUAUGUUUAUAUAAUAAGCUUAAAAUAUUAAAACAUAAGAACAAGUUAAACAAGCACAAAGAUAGGGGAUGUUUGAAUAAAGGGGAGCAUGUAAAUUUUAAAACAAGAAUAUGAUUUUCAAAAAUAGUUGUGUCAUCAUAAAAAAUGGGGAGCUUGUUGAAAUAAAGGUUUAUUUGAGUUUUGAUGAUUACAAAUGUUUAACAAUAAGUCAAGUCUAAAAAUCACAUUAAACAACUUAGAAAUACAAGGACCAAAAAUAGUGGUCUUGAAAACAAUCCUACAUAUGAAUAAAAAAAGAUGUUAAGCUCUUUACAAGUCACGUUAAAUAUCAUUGUGCAUAUAAAAGAGGUAGAAAAGAUAAACCAACUCUUAAACUCAAAAUGGAUAGUUAACAAACUUAACUGAUAAAAAGACAAAACACAAAUUGCUACUGUCACAAGUUCGGACCGAACUUGUAUACCGAAGGUUAAAUGAAGCACAAUUGAACUUCAUCAAGUCAUCUAUUAACAGAUAUGAUCACUAGAAAAUCGUUAAACUACGACCGAAGUUCACAUUCAGUCAACCGAAGGCAAAAGAUGCACAACCAAUGUUGAAAUAGAGAACAAGGAUACUCACUGGGAUAACAGUUAAGACACGACUAUAGUUUACAUUCGGUCGACCGAAGUGUCGUCCAAAGUAUGUAAAGCCAAAAUAGAGCAACAUAAGUGAUCUCUAUAAUUACAGAAUAAUGUCGAUGAAAAUAAAAAAGCCCUCGAUCAAAGUUUUAAAUUCAUCAGCCAACAGAGUAUGCAAGUCACUGAAAUUUUAGUUCAAACUCGAUCAAAGUUCAAGUCAGUCGACUAAAGUUUUUGAUCGAAAUUUGAAAAGUUGAUCCUACACAUCCAAAUCAACAUCCAACAACUAAGACUCAAUUAGAACGGCUAGAUUAAAAGCAUUUUUGCUGCAAUAACUAUAAUCGACUUUUGACGAGGGGGGGGGGGAGGAGUGGGUGGGUUGGAGAGGGAGGGAAGGGAAAGAAGUGAAUAAGAUAUAAAGGAGGGGGAAGGAGUCGGGGGGGGGGUGGGGAGAGAAUUACUAAGGGAGGGAGAGGGGUUAUAAAUACAAUUUUGGGUUUGUUUGAAAGGUAUUGAAGUUUUUAACUUUCUACAAUCACUUGUAUUCAAUAUUCCUAAACAAACCUAUUUUAUCUCUUCAUAAUUUGCUUUGUAGUUAACAGUAAAUAUGAUCAAACCGCAUUAAUUUCUUUAAAUUCUUUCUUAUUAUUCUAUUUCUCUUUUCGAUUUUUCUGUAUCUAAAAUCAACAUGAUGACCAUGUUGUUUACUUGUCUAUUAACAAAUUUCUAUAAGAUGUCUUUGAAUGUACAAAAGAUCGUGAGUCACCAAUAGCCAACAGGUCAAAACCUAAACUUUCCAAUCUCAUUAAUAAAU
rnacentral:lncRNA from 1 species